rnacentral:misc_RNA from 1 species
GAUGAAGAACGCAGCGAAAUGCGAUACUUGGUGUGAAUUGCAGAAUCCCGUGAACCAUCGAGUCUUUAAACGCAAGUUGCGCCUCAAGCCAUUAGGUUGAGGGCACGUCUGCCUGGGCGUCACAUAUCGUUGCCUGAUGCCAGUUUCCUCGUGAUGGGUGACUGUGCAGGGCGAAUGAUGGCUUCCCGUGAGCAUUGUUGCCUCAUGGUUGGUUGAAAAUUGAGUCCUUGGUAGGGAGCGCCGUGAUAGAUGGUGGUUGAGUGACGAACGAGACCCAAUCAUGUGAGACCCCUACCGAAUUUGGCCUUCAUGACCCACAUGCGUCUUUGGAACGCUCAUGACGAGACCUCAGGUCAGGCGGGGCUACCCGCUGAGUUUAAGCAUAUCAUAAGCGGAGGA